CCUACGGGAGGCAGCAGUGGGGAAUAUUGCACAAUGGGGGAAACCCUGAUGCAGCGACGCCGCGUGAGGGAAGACGUAAUUCGUUACGUAAAGCUCUAUCAGCAGGGAAGAAAUACUGACCUUACGGUCAGCAGACGGUACCUGAGUAAGAAGCCCCGGCGAACUUCGUGCCAGCAGCCGCGGUAAUACGUAGGGGGCAAGCGUUAUCCGGAUUUACUGGGGGUAAAGGGGGCGUAGACGGUGCGCCAAGGCUGUAGUGAAAUGCCGCAGCUUAACUGCGGAACUGCUGUGGAAACUGGCGAACUAGAGUGCGGGAGGGGUAAGCGGAAUUCCUAGUGUAGCGGUGAAAUGCGUAGAUAUUAGGAGGAACACCGGUGGCGAAGGCGGCUUACGGGACCGUAACUGACGUUGAGGCUCGAAAGCGUGGGGAGCAAACAGGAUUAGAUACCCGGGUAGUC
rnacentral:rRNA from 1 species